AUGGCAGGGCUUGGCAUUGGAGCACCAAUCGUGAAGGUGUAUCAUGAGAAAUCUAUAAUCUUACCGGAUGUGUCAAGGGUGCUUGCAUGCCUGUAUGAGAAGGAAAUCGACUUUGAGAGAGAGACAUUCUCCUCUUACAAGAGCCUACUCAGACUUCAGGCAUCGAGCCAUGUUCCAGUUCCAUUCUAUGAUGGACCUAAUAAAUUCCUAGAAGAAUCAAGAGAUAUCUGCCGCCAUAUAGCAGAGACUUAUGAAGAUCAUGGAUACCCAUUUCUCCUUGGGAAGGAUUCCCUUGAGAGGGCUUCCAUCGAGGAAUGGCUCCACCAUGAAGAGCAUAAUUUCAACCCUCCGAGCAGAUCCUUGUUCUGCCACUUGGCCUUUCCCGUUGCUGAAGAAGAUGAUGAUAUAGACUUGCAGACGAGAAAGCUAGAAGAUGUUCUGGAAGUUUAUGAGCAAAGGCUUGGUGACAGUGAAUUCCUUGCUGGCAACAAGUUCACUCUUGCUGACCUAGUACACCUGCCAAACUCCUACCACAUCACAAAUUCUGAAAAGUUUCUGUACCUAUAUGAUUCAAGAAAGAAUGUGCAGAGGUGGUGGCAUGCUAUUUCUAGCCGGGGUUCUUGGCAGAAGGUGCUGAAGGUUAUGCAUGAGGUGGAGCGGCAGAACAAACAAGAGGAACUUGACAAGCAGCAGCAGCGCAAACAGGAAGAACUUGAGAAGCAGCAGCGGCGUCAGUGGCGGAGACAGCAUCCUCCAACCAGCAGAUCCCCGUUCCGUCUAGACUCCCGGGAGCAACCCAGCACAAAACCUCACACGAUAUUGGUUCGCCCCCCUGCUAGUAUCAUCGCUCCCAAGGCUCCUCAAGCAGAGGAGCCUCAUCCUACUGAAACUUCCCGUGAUGAAACACCAGUCUCCUCAAGCCCAAGUAUCCCUACUACUCAUAAACCUUCAGAUGUCCGAAGCAAACAUACUACCAUUUCUACUACACAUGAAGAAACUCCACCAGCCUCCGUCCAAAGUACUCCCAGAAUUGCUAAAAAGUCUCCUAUUCCUGUCGAAAGAAGAAUCAAUUUUUUUACCCCAGCUACCUCUCCUACCACUACUGAGAAGCCCUCAAGAACUGGUGUUGAUAAGCCCAGAAUUGGAGACGCCUCACUAACUUCUGAAGCCACCGAAAUAGACCUCCCUACUAAAUCCAAGCCAAGUUCAUCCAAAAAAGCACCUAAUAACCUUCAUGUGUUUGAUUUCUAUGAGGCAAGCAGACAUACUGAUGAAGCAGAACCUUAUACUGGACCCACCUCAUCAAAACCUUCAGAAAUGCUGGACGAGAUAUCUGAAACUGAUGGGCCAAGCAAUGCCAUUGAUCAUGCCGAAACCAGUCCAAGAUCAGCUAAAGAAGAUUCUGACCGACUCAGGGCGUCAGGUUUCUGGACUGAGAACACAGCCCCUAAUGCUGAUACUGAGGAUAAGAAAUCAGUUCGAUACACUGAGCGUACUUCACAAAGACCUGUUGGAAAUAUUUCUAGUAGAGCUACUGACCAGAGAGUUACAUAUACUUCUCCUGAGAAGCCCCAUUCAACUGAAGCUCAUCAGAAACUGCAGUCUGAGCAGUGGCAUGCUGCUGCAGCUGGGUUCCCUGCUGACCGCAGAAAAGAUGCUUCUCUCCCUAAGGGUGCAGGAGAUGACACUCAAGCUAUUCCAUUAUAUGAUGAUGAUGAUACCAACCAGGAAGCCAGAGAAACUGCAUCUGCACCAAGGCGAACAAGAGCUCAAGAUCCAUAUGAUACCCCUGAAGGAACAUCAUCUAGAUCACAACCUAUCAGUGCUCCACAUGAUGCUGUUCCUCCGCCCAAGCGAGCAACAUCUGAAGGCCCUUAUGCACGAAAGGAUGUUGUGGAAGCAAGAAGGUUUCCUGCUGACCGCAGAAAAGAUGCUCCCCUCCCGAAGCAUGUACAAGAUGGCACUCAAGCUAUUCCAUUAUAUGAUGAUGAUACCAGCCAGGAAGCCAGAGAAACUGCAUCUGCACCAAGGCGAGCAAGAGCUCAAGAUCCAUAUGAUACCUCUGAAGGAACAUCAUCUAGAUCACAACCUGUCAAUGCUCCACAUGACGCUGUUCCUCCGCCCAAGCGAGCAACGUCUGAAGGCCCUGCACGAAAGGAUGCUGUGGAAGCAAGAAGGUUCCCUGUUGACCACAGAAAAAAUGCUCCUCUCCCAAAGCGUGUACGAGAUGACACUCAAGCUAUUCCAUUAUAUGGUGAUGAUCAUGAUACCAACCAGGAAGCCAGAGAAACUGCAUCUGCACCAAGGCGAACAAGGGCUCAAGAUCCAUAUGAUACCUCUGAAGGAAUAGGAACUUACCACUCUUCAUCAUCUAGACCACAUCCUGUCAAUGCUCCACAUGAUGCUGUUCCUCCACCCAAGCAAGCAGCAUCUGAAGGCUCUCGACGUGCAACUGCACCAUACCUAGCUGCUCAAGAGGUUUUCCAGCAGGGUAGGAAGAGUCCUGCAUCAAGGCCAAUAGUGCCUCAUGAUGCCCAAGGCAGCACCGAAGAAGAAGAAACUGUGGAAUCAUCAUCCAAAGCACAUCCAUUGGAUUCUCAUCUGGCUGAUGUUCGUCCACCUAACCAAUUUUUGGAUGAAGAUGGUUAUGGUGCAAGUACACCAUUGCAAACAGGAGAUACAGAUGAUCCAUAUAAUGGGAAGCGAGAUAGAGGCGCUGCUGCUCCAAAGCGGAUGAUGUCUCAAGAUGCCUUUGAAGAAACAAAGAUGACUGAUUCUGCAUCAUUUGAAGCACAAACAUCAGAUCAUCGGCAAGCUGAUGCUCCUCCACAAAAGCAACGGCCAACUGAAGAUCCUCUAACUACUGCUUCACCAUCCAAGAAAAGAUAUUCUGAUGAUGAAGAUUCGGCCAAACAAGCUAAGCAUGCUCAUCAGAAACUGCAGUCUGAGCAGUGGCAUGCUGCUACAACUGGUUUGAGUAACCUAAAGGGAGAAACUGAUGAUUUUAUGCCUCCUACUCAACAAGAAAAACCUAGCAAAGAUGUGCAACAUAUCUCAUCACAAGAUACAGAACAAGCAAACACUCGGCCUCUUGCACAAGAACCAGUAGGCAUGGAUGGACAACUGGUGCAAGGACCAGAAAGGACAGCUCAAACAUCCCCAACAAGAUAUCCAAGAGUUGAAGAAACCAGCAAACAACCUAGAGCCCCUGCUUCUAUACCAACACAUAUAGCAGCUCAAGGUGCUAGGGAUGUCUUUAGAGAGUCAAAGGUUGCUGAUUCCACACCAUUGCAAAAGAGAUACCCUGAUGCCAAAGAUGUCGCCAAGAAAUCAAAAGUUACCUUUGAAGAAACAAAAAAUUCUGAUUCUGCACCAUCACGAGGGCAACCUUUGGAUUCUCAGGGAGCUGAUGCUCCAUCAUGGAAGAAAGAAGCUGCUGAUGCUCCAUCACGAGGGCAACCUUUGUAUUCUCAGAGAGCUGAUGCUCCAUCGCGGAAGAAAGAAGCAACUGAAGAUCCUCGUUCAACUGCACCAGUCAAAAAGAGACACUCCGAUGUUGAAGACACCACCAAACAAUCUAGGGAUAAUGGUUUUAAGCCAAGGCAAAUUGUGGGUCAAGAUGCUCAAGGCACCUACAAAGAAACAAAGCCCAGUGAUCCUGUGUCGUAUAGAGAACAAUCUUCAGAUACUUGGCAAGCUGCACCCACUCCAAGAGAGAAAAUAGCAACUGAAGGUGGUCCCAGUGUGACUCCACCAUCUAAAAGAAGGUCUCCAAGUGAUGAAGACACCAUCAAGCAACCUAGGGGCACUGCUCCAGCACCUAGGCGGACAACUUCUCAUGAUGCUAAUGUGAGAUUUCAAGAUUCAAAACCUGCUGAUUCCAUGUCAUCUAGGGAGCAGCCUUUGAGAUCAAGAAAAGAGGUUGAAGAUUCUCGUAGCAAAACUUCAGCAUUUGACAAGACUCAUCCUUAUGUUGAAGAUAGCACUAGGCAAGCUGCAGACACUGAUUUUGGGCCAAGGCAGAUUGGAGAUGAAGACAUCACUGAAGAAAAAAAGGUUGCUGAUUCUGCACCAUCUGUCAGAGCAAGACACACUGACACCCCACGAACUGCACGUCCUCUGUCACAGCUAGCAGAAGAGGAAGAAGAUGCCCAGGAUAAAUACAGAGAAGGUAGAGAAACUGCACGUCCUCUGUCACAGCAAGCAGAAGAGGAAGAAGAUGUCCAGGAUAAAGACAGAGAAGGUAGAGACACUGUUUCUGCACCAAAGAAAAUGGUGUCCAGAGAUGCUCAUGACACAUAUGGAGAAAGAAGGACUCCCCAUUCUACAUCCACCUCACCCACACCAUCCAAAGCACAACCUGCAGAUUCUCGGAGCCCUAUCAAGGUGGAGAGACCACGUUCUAUUUAUGAGGAGGACCAUCUCGUUGGCCAAGAUAGCCAUAAGCAACCUCAAACCCUCCCAACUGGUGGGAGAGCAGAUGGCUCUACACUAAAGCAUCAACAAGAUCCUGUGGUUCCAUCUAUUUCUGAAGAGAAAUCAAGUACUCCUCCAGCUCCACCAAGGGCAAGAGUUCGUGAUGAUCAUCCUACUGAAGAGCCAUUUAAAGGAGACAUUGUUGAUGACCGAAAAGGAUCACCACCUCUAUUGGGCCAAGAACCAACUUCCCAAGUCCAACGUGCCACAGAACUGUCACAGAAAGCAGCUCCUGAUGGUGAAUUGUCCACCAUUGAUCAAUGGCGGCGCACAUCUGUGCCAUUACAAGGUGAUGAUGUGCUGGGUGGGUCUACCAUUGAUCAAAAGCCAACACCAAUGAGUGAAAAAUCAAUACCCAGUGCUCGGCGUGCCAAUGAGAUGGUCAAAAAAGAGCAAAGAAUGGUACCACCUGCACGAACAGGAGCACAAACGCCCGAUGUUCAGCGUGCUCCGUCAUCAUUCUCAAGAGCUGACACGGCUGAAAGAGAUGGAGAGCCGGUACAAAUGCAAGCACCUACUCAGCAUGCUCGUCCUACUUCAGUGCCUACCAGAAGAGCAACUCCUGAUGCUCGUGACACUAGUGAUCAAGAGUUUGCGAACAAAUCUGAUGCCCAAAGAUGGAAUGCCUUGAAAGCUAAGCAUGAUGUAGCCAUGACCAGUGAAGAUGUUCGGGAUGACAGUCUGUCAACUCAUGAUGCUACUGUUGACAACAAGACAGCAUUGCCUGCUAGUGAAGCACAAGGUUCAGGCCCUUGGCCCGGUUCAACAGCUACCCCUGUAAAUGCUCAACCUACCAGUGACGAUGCACGUGUCAGAAGAUUUCCACGUGAUAAAGGGGCACAACCACCUGAAUCAACUCAAGCACAACCCCCUUUUGAUGCUCCACAUGACUCUGUAUCAACCCAAGAUGUACCUCGUGACACCUUGGGCAAAACCAAAUCUGCCAAACCAAGUUCAACUGAAGGCAUGACACCUACAGCUGGACCAGCGCCAACUUUGAAGGCCCAACUUGCUGAACAUAAAUUUGCUCCAUCAGAUCAAAAAUUAGCUCGUGCUGCACAACCAACUUCAACUGAAGGCAUGCCACCUACAGCUGGACCACAGCCAACUUUCAAGGCCCAACUUGCUGAACAGAAAUUUGCCCCAUCAGAUAAAAAAGUAGCUCGUGCUGCGCCUGAAUCAAGUAAAGAAGGUACUGGUUUUUCUGCACCCGAGAAACCACAGACAAUUUUUCGUCAAGAAGCAAGACCAUCUGCGCCAAUCACAAAACAAGUUCCAUCCUCAGAUGCCCACCAUGAUACCAGGAAAAUCAAGCAUGUCACCCUUGCUAAUUUUCCCCCUGAUGUUUCACCAAUACCACCUUUUCCAAGUCGUGAGCAAGUUCCCCAUGCACCACAAACAUUCCCUAAUAAAAAAGACAUGGCACCUGCACCAGGCACAAAGGACUCUCUAGCCCCAGAUACCCAAAUUGCUUCAGAAAAUGUUCAGGAAGCCAUUCCUGACAAUUAUCGCACUGAUGAGUUAACAGUGCCAUUUGUCUCGAGUGGAAAACAAGGUUCCUAUGCUGGACCCUUUACUGAACCACAGGAAGGACCAUCUCCUGAUGCUCAUGGCGCUGCAGAUGACAAGGACAUAACUAAAUAUCCAUCUGAUAGUUAUGUUCGUCCCACCAGUGGUAGCGAUGUAUUUCCUGCUGUGAAGAAAUCUGCCCCAUCAGGUCAAGAUUCAAUUCAGUCUGCACAACAAUCUUCCUCAGCUGAGACUAGGAAAGAAGAGACUAUCGUUUCUGCAGCUGGACCCACACUGCCCACAACCAUCGGUAAAGACACGCAAGGUUCUCGGCGCCCUAUCAAGGCGGAGAGAACACCUUCUGCUUAUCAGGAGGACCAUCUUGUUGCCCAAGACAGCCAUGAGCAACCUCAAACCCUCCCAACUGGUGGCAGAGCAGAUGAUUCUACACCAAAGCGUCAACAAGAUCCUAAAGAUAAAUCAAGUACUCCUCCAGCUCCACCCAGAGCAAGAGUUCGUGAUGAUCAUCCUACUGAAGAGCCUUUUAACGGAGACACUGUUGAUGAGCAAAAAGGAGCACCACCUCUAUUGGGCCAAGAACCAACUUCCCAAGUCCAACGUGCCACUGAACUAUCACAGGAAGCAGCUCCCGAUGGAGAUAUGUCCAGCAAACCUUCCACCAUUGGUCAAUGGCAGCGCACAUCUGUGCCGCUACAAGGUAUAACUCCCAAUUCUGGUGAUGAUGUGCUGGGUGGGUCUACCAUUGAUCAAAAGCCAACACCAAUGAGUGAACAAUCAAUACCCAGUGCUCGGGGUGCCAGUGAGAUGGUAGAAAAAGAGCAAAGAAUGGCACCACCUGCACGACCAGGAGCACGAACACCCGAUGUUCUGAGUGCUCCAUCAUCAUUCUCAGCAGCUGACAGAGCUGAGAGAGAUGGAGAACCAGUACAAAUGCAAGCACCAACUCUGCAUGAUCAAGGGGCACAACCACCUGAAUCAACUCAAGCACAAUCACCUUUUGAUGCUCCACGUGACUCGGUAUCAACCCAAGAUGUACCUAGUGAUGCCUUGGACAAAACCAAUGUUGCAAAAUCAACUUCAACUGAAGGCAAGGCACCAGCGCCAACUUCGAAGGCCCAGCUUGCUGAAGAGAAAUUUGCUCCAUCAGAUAAAAAAUUAGCUCGUGCUGCACGACCAACUUCAACUGAAGGCAUGACACCUACAGCUGGACCAGCGCCAACUUCGAAGGCCCAACUUCCUGAGCAGAAAUUUGCUCCAUCAGAUAAAAAACCUGAGAAACCACAGACAAUUUUUCGUCAAGAAGCGAGACCAUCUGCGCCAAUCACAAAACAAGUUCCAUCCUCAGAUUCCCAUCAUGCUACUAGGAAAAUCCAGCAACCCACCCUUGAUAAUGUUCCCACUGAUGAUUCAUCAAUACCACCUUUUCCAAGUCAUGAACAAGUUUCCCAUGCACCACAAGCAUUCCCUAGUAAAAAAGACAGGGCACCUGCACCAGGCACAAAGGACUCCCCAGCCUCAAAUACCCAAAUUGCUUCAGCAAAAGUCCAGGAAACUAUGCCUGACAAUUAUCGCACUGAUGAGUUAACAGUGCCAUCUGUCUCAAGUGAAAAACAAGGUUCCUAUGCUGGAUCCUCUACUGAACCACAUGAAGGAUCAUCUCCUGAUGCUUAUGGUGCUGCAGAUGCCAAGGACAUAACUAAAUAUCCAUCUAGGCAAGCACCAGUUUUAGAAUAUAGGCCUGAUUCAACACCAGCUGAUAGUUAUGUUCGUCCCAUCAGUGGUAGCGAAGUAUUUCCUGCUGUAAAGAAAUCUGCCCCAUCAGAUCAAGAUUCAGUUCAGUCUGCAAAACAACCUUCCCCAGCUGAGACCAAGAAAGAAGAGACUAUCGUUGCUGCAGCUGAACCGACAUUGCCAACAAUUGUCGGUAAAGACACAGAAGGUAUGCGAGGCACUCCAACCUUGGAUUACGAUCCCACGGGAGACAAACGUGCUGAUAUUCAGAGUGGUAGAUCUGAUGAAGUAGCCCUUCCAGAACAGAAAUCCGGACCCUCAGAUCGGGAUUCAGCUCGUUCUACGCAAUCAAGAUCCUCUGCUGAGCCUAUGGAUAAAGAGCUUAAUUAUCCAAGUUCUGCAAAACCACUUUCCUCUGCCACACCUGACCAGACAAAGGACUUACAACCUACUAUUGGUCAACAAGUGCCUGCACCAGGAACAUCAGAAUAUCCAUCCUCAGGUACCCACCAUACUUCAGGGAAAUUUCAGGAAGUUGCUCCUGAUGAUCACCAUAUUGUUGAAUCAAGUCCAGGCAAAGGACAAGUUUACCGCACCGAACCUGAUCUUGAGGUAUCUGAAGGCCUAGUCCCUUAUUCACGUAGUGUCAUAGGUGAAAAGACUAUGAGACCUCCAUCUAGCCAAGCACAAAGUUCAGACUCAAAACCUGAUCCCACCCAAAACCGUGGCGAUGAGCCUUCCACAAGAUCUUUACCCAAUCAAGUAGCAAAACAACAUGCAGAAACCCAAUCACCACCGACUCUCGUGGUUCCAUAUGACUCCGAAUCCACCCAAGAUGUAACUUCUGACACCUUAGGCAAAGCCAAGUCACUAAAACCAUCCUCUAUUGAUCAACAAGCUACAGGCUCAGCAUCAACUCCUGACACUCAUCUUGGUGGUGCAUCAGGGGAAGUAGCUCGCCCAGGACAGAAAUUACCCUUGAAAGAUCAAGAUUCAGCUAACUCUACACAGAAGUCUUCCUACAGUGAGCCACAAAAAGAACAGUCCACUGUUGCUGCACCUAAUCAAUCCAAGGGGUCACAAGCAACUAGUGAAGUAGUAACCCCCGCUGAUCAAAGCAUAGCUCCAUCAGAACCACUUUCUUUUGUUGAAACAAAUAAAGAAUUUACUGUUGCUGAAGCUGAAGAAAGCAAAGUGUCUCGACCAGUCAACGCUCAGCAAGACAUUAAGCAUGUACCGGACAUUUCAGAACCAGUACUUGAUAAUGUUUCGAUGGAAGAACAAUAUCAACAUGCUUCUGAGCCACGUGAAGGACCACCUCCUGAUGUGCAUGGCACCUUCGUCGACAGAAAGACAGCUCCCUCUUCUAGUCAAGCACAACGUCCAGAUGCAAAACAUGAUGUGCUACCAUUGAGUGUUGAUGUUGACAAAAAAACAGUUCCACCUUCUAGUCAAGCACAAAUUCUACCAUCGAGUGUUGAUGUUGGUCCUAGCAGUAAUGAACAGCCAACUACAAGACUUCGACGUGAUCAAGAGGCACAGGCGCAGCUACCUGCAGCAACUAAGCAACCACCACCUUUUGAGGCUCCAGUCUACUCUAAAUCUAACCAAGAUGCCCCUAAGUCCUUCAAACUACCCUCUGCUGAUCAAGAUGUCAUGUCACCUAAAGUGGUGCCAGCAUCAGCACCAGACACUCAAUUUGGUCUAGUAUCCGAUGAAAUAACUCAUGAUGGGCAAAACUCCCCUUUGUCAGCUCAAGAUAUAGCUCGUUCUGCACAAAGGCCUUUCUUUGUUGAGCCAACAAAAGAAGAUGGUAUUGUUGCUGCAUCCGGUCAAACUAACGAGGCACGGCCUAUAAGUGGUCAACGAGGAAUAACUCCUACUCCAGACAAACAAAGAAUUCCUGAUCUGCGUGGUGCUGGUGAUGAAAAGAUGUCACUUCCAUCUAGCCAAGCACAAAACUCAGACAUUAGGCCUGAUUCAGCACCAAUUGGUGGUGAUGUUCAUCGUACUAGUGGCGAUGAACCAGCCACAAGCUCUGUACGUGAUUCACAGGCUCGGCCUCCUGCAGGAACUCAGAAUGUACCUGAUGGUUUCUUGGAAAAUACCAAGUCACCAAGACCACCCUCCACUGAUCAAGAACCUAUGGCUAGUCUAGCACCAGCUCCAGAUGCUCCGCAAGAUCAAGAUUCAAAUCGUUCUUCACAGUUUUCUCCCUCUCUUGUAUCAAGGAAAGAUGUUGCUAAUGCUGAUCAAACCAAUGUAUCACAAGCAGGCCUGCGAGAGCCCCCGAGUUCAGAUGCUAAACUUCCUUCAAAGGAAAUACAAGAAUCUAGCCCCGAUGCUUAUCUCACCAAGUCAGAGAAACCACUUCCUAUGAAAGAUCCAGUUCGGCCUCCACAUGAAGCUUCCUUUGAUUUAUCGAGCGGUGAAAAGCCCCCUAUGAUCAAAGGUGAUCAGGUCAGCACAAUAUCAGAUGUCAGUCCCUCAGCCAGCGAAGAAGUUGGUCAAUCCAAAAAUAGUGCAGUUAAAGGACCAAUCUCUGCAGAGUUAGUAUCAUCAUUCCCUCAGAAGAACCUCGAGAAAACAUCACCUGAAGAAAAAUGGAACCAGCAGCAGCAAACAGACCAGUCCACCACUAGAUCAUCUGAAGAUAACAACAUCGAAGCCAGUGGAACUAGAAACCCUAACACCUCAACAACGUCUAGAGAUAUACAACCUUCACCUCUCAAGGAAAGAAUGCAGGCAGUUGAAGGAUCCAGAAACCAACAACAGUCUGACCAAGCUGUCUUUCAAUCCAUACAGGAUAACAGAACACAAAUUCAAGAAACUAAGGCACGAGACACUGGAUUUGACAAGCCUGAAGUGAUUAGGGCCGAUUCAGCACCAACCAGUGGUGAUGCUCAUCGUACAAGCGGUGAUGGGCCAACCACAAGUUCUUUACGUGAUUCACAGGCACAGCCUUCUGCAGGAACUGAGAAUGUACCUGCUGUUUACUCGGAAAAGGAGUCACCAAGACCACUCUCCACUGAUCAAGAAGUCAUGAAACCUAUGACUAACCCAACACCAGCUCCAGAUUCUCCGCAAGAUCAAUAUUCAAAUCAUGCUUCACAGUUUACUCCCUCUGUUGUAUCAAGGAAAAAUGUUGCUAAUGCUGAUAAAACCAAUAUAUCAGAAGCAGGCCUGCGAGGCCCUGCGAGUUCAGAUGCUACACUUUCUUCAGAGCAAAUACAAGAAUCUAGGCCUGAUGAUUAUCUCACCAAGUCGGAGAAAGAACUUCCCAUGAAAGGUACAGAUCCAGUUCAGCCUCCAGAAGUAGCUGCCUUUGAUUUGCCGAGCGAUGGAAAACCUACUAUGAUCAAAGGUGACCAGGUGAAUACAAUAUCAAGUGUCAGUCUCUCAGCCAGCCAGCCAGUUGGUGAGUCUGAAAGUGCAGUUGAAAGACCACUCUCAGAUGAGUUAGUAUCAUCAUUUCCUGAAAAACACCUUGAAAAAAGAUCACCUGAAGAAAAAUCGAACCAGCAGCAGCAAACUGACCAGUCCAGCACUAGAUUAACUAAAGAUGAUAGCAUAGAAUCCAGUGGAAUCGCAAGCCAAAAUAUCUUGACAACAUCCAGAGAUAUACAACCUUCUCCACUCAAGCAAAACAAUCAGGCAGCUGAAAGAUCCAGAAAACAACAACAGGCUGACCCUGUCUUUCAAUCAACACAGGACAACAAAAGGCAGACUGAAGAAACUGAGGCACAAGACACUGGAUCUGACCAGCAUGAAGAAAUUAAUCCUGAUUCAGCACCAACCAGUGGUGAUGCUAAUCGUACAAGUGGUGAUGGGCCAGCCACAAGUUCUUUACGUAAUUCACAGGCACAGCCUCCUGCAGAAACUCAGAAUGCACCUGUUGUUUUCUCGGAAAAGAUCAAGUCACCAAGACCACCCUCCACUGAUCAAGAACUUGUGACACCUCUGACUAGCCCAGCACCAACUCCAGAUACUCCGCAAGAAAAAGAUUCAACUCGGUCUCCUCAGUUGCCUCCUCCUGUUGAAUCAAGGAGAGAUAUUGCUAACACCGGUCAAACCAAUUUAUCACCAGCAGGCUUGAGAGAGACCGCAAGUUCAGAUGCUAUGCCUCCUUCAGAGAAAAUACAAGAAUCUAGCCCUGAUGCUUAUCUCUCUAAGUCAGAGAAACCAAUUCUUCCUUUGACAGGUACGGAUACAGUUCAGCCUCCAGUUGAAGGUUCCUUUGAUUUGUCAAGCGAUGGGAAGCCCACUAUGAUCAAAGGUGACCAGGCCAACACAAAAUCAAAUGUUAGUCUGUCACCCAGCCAAGCAGUUGGUCAAUCUGAAAAUAGUGCAGUUAAAGGAGCACCCUCUGAUGAUUCAGUAUCACCAUUUCCUCAAAAGAACCUCGAAAGGACAUCACCUGAAGAAAAACCGAAGCAGCAGCAGCAAUCCAGCACUAGAUCAUCUAGAGAUGACAGCAUAGAAGCCAGUGAAACCGCAAGCCCAAACAUCUUAGCAUCUGGAGAUAUACAACCAUCACCUCUCAACCAACGGUCACCUAUGAAGGAAAACAUUCAGGCAGCUGAGGGAUUCAGAAACCAACAACAGGCUGACCAAGAUUUUUUUCAACCAAGACAGGACAACCGAAAGCAAAUGGAAGAAACUGAGGCACAAGACACUUCAACUGACUAUCCCGAAAACACAAAUGGAGCAUCUCAAAGAGCUGCUUUGGAACAACAACAGGGAGAAAAUGUCCGGAGGGCUCAGCGGCAGAGCAAUGACACAAACAAUAGCUAUGAACCAACUAAAGAUGCUCCAAAUAUCAUCCAGGCAGACAAUAAACCUGAGAGCAGCUCGAGAACUCCUGAAGAACCCAGGCAACAAGCACAGCCGGAAGGCAAAACUCGAGGUGGCGAAAUCAUGUCGCCAGCCUCUGAAACCGGGCAGCCUGAAGAAAGCGAUCUCCCACCAAGCAAUAAGGGUAUCACUAGUCAAUCUCAGUCAGAAACCUCAGACAAACUGGAAGACCAAACUUCCUCUUCUACCCGGAACAGAGGCACAGACUCCAGCAAAUUGGACGGGGCAACUGAUGACACCAAGUCCGCCGACACGGACGAUAAUAAUCCAUCGUCAUGA
rnacentral:rRNA from 1 species